rnacentral:rRNA from 1 species
UUGAGCGGAGAUAUAUGGAGCUUGCUUUAUAUAACUUAGCAGCGAACGGGUGAGUAACACGUAGAUAAUCUAUCCUAUACUGGGGGAUAGCCCGAUGAAAGUUGGAUUAAUACCGCAUAUAGCUAUAUAGUUGCAUGAUUAUGUAGUGAAAGAUUUAUUGGUAUAGGAGGAGUCUGCGGCACAUUAGCUAGUAGGUGAGGUAAAGGCUUACCUAGGCGACGAUGUGUAGCCGGUCUGAGAGGAUGAACGGCCACAAUGGAACUGAGACACGGUCCAUACUCCUACGGGAGGCAGCAGUGGGGAAUAUUGCACAAUGGGGGAAACCCUGAUGCAGCAACGCCGCGUGAGUGAAGAAGGUUUUCGGAUUGUAAAGCUCUGUUAGCAGGGAAGAGGAAGGACGGUACCUGCAGAGGAAGCCACGGCUAACUACGUGCCAGCAGCCGCGGUAAUACGUAGGUGGCAAGCGUUGUUCGGAAUAACUGGGCGUAAAGGAUGCGUAGGCGGUUAAACAAGUUAUAUGUUAAAUAUAUAGGCUUAACCUGUAGAAAGCAUAUAAAACUGUUUAACUAGAGUGCAGGAGAGGUAAGUGGAAUUCCUAGUGUAGCGGUGAAAUGCGUAGAGAUUAGGAAGAACACCAGUGGCGAAGGCGACUUACUGGACUGUAACUGACGCUGAGGCAUGAGAGCAUGGGGAGCAAACAGGAUUAGAUACCCUGGUAGUCCAUGCUGUAAACGAUGGGUACUAGGUGUGGGUUGUGAAUAACAAUUCGUGCCGUCGCAAACGCAAUAAGUACCCCGCCUG